CAGCAGCCGCGGUAAUACGUAGGUGGCAAGCGUUGUCCGGAAUUACUGGGCGUAAAGGGCUCGCAGGCGGUCCCUUAAGUCUGAUGUGAAAGCCCCCGGCUCAACCGGGGAGGGUCAUUGGAAACUGGGAAACUUGAGUGCAGAAGAGGAGAGUGGAAUUCCACGUGUAGCGGUGAAAUGCGUAGAGAUGUGGAGGAACACCAGUGGCGAAGGCGACUCUCUGGUCUGUAACUGACGCUGAGGAGCGAAAGCGUGGGGAGCGAACGGGAUUAGAUACCCCUGUAGUCCCUGUCUCUUAUAC
rnacentral:rRNA from 1 species